AGGGGGCACGCGGCGUCUCUCUGGUUCUCUCCCCCGGUCUCCUUCUGUCUUCGAAACUUGCCUGACCUCCCUCUGGUUGUCUCCUGCCCCGCCCUCUGUCUCUGUCUCCCCAUCUCUGUUGCUGUCUCUGUGUCCCCUGGGACCUUGAAAGUGGGUAUUGGGGCCCCGGGAAGGGACUUUGGCCGGACUCGGGCCCCACCCGAGUGGAUCGUUAACCCAGGAUGUGAGAAGUGGCUGUGUGGAGAGGCCUCACCCCUUCCCUUCCUUUCGACCUCUCUCUGGAUCUCCCUUAUCCCCCUUCAUGGCGAAACAUCCCGAGCACAGACCUGUGUUAAUUCCACCUCCACCCCUUGCUCCCGGUGGGACCUCAGACAAGCCAUCCCCUGCCUUGAGACUCAGUUUGUUCUUCUGGAAAAUGGGACCAAUGGCAACCCCUGCCUGCUGGUGUUGUGGGGGCCACAGCAAGGGAAGAGGGGAGGAAUUCGGUUGGACAGGCUGGGGGCUGUGUUCCCUGCCCAUCCAACCCCACCCCUGGGGACCCUCAGACACAGGAGAGGGGUGUGGAGCACUAUCCCAAUGCACAGAAAGGAAAGCUGAGGUUUGGAGGGGCGAGGCUUAGGGUGGGGACCCUCAGAGGUAGGGUGGGAAGGACACCCAAGCCUGUCCCACUCCUGGCAUCCCAGGGCAGCUGGUGCAGUGGUUCCAACCUAGCAGGACUGUAGAGGGGAGAAGAUGUGAUGGGUCCGGUGGGAGCUUCGAAGGGCUGGGAGAGACGGUGCUGCUGGAAGAGAGGGUGCUGAUGGUUCUCUGAGGUUGGAAGAGGGAUAAAAGGGUCAGAAGGAGGAGGAUCUGAAGAAGGAAGAUAGGUCUGAGAGAGAAGUAGAUGGUUUAGUGGGAGGAGGGGGAGAGGAUCUGAAGGAGGAGGACAGGGUCUGUUGGAGGAGGUAAGGGUCUGAUGGAGGAAAUAAGGGUCUGAGGGUGGAGGCGAGGUUUGGAGGGAGGAGGUGAAGGUCUGAGGGAGGAGACAAGGGUCUGAAGGAGGAGAUAAGAGUCUGAGGAAGGAGGCGAGGGUUUGAGAGAGGAGGUGAGGGUCUGAAGGAGGAGGAGGAGAUAAGCAUGUGAGGAAGGAGGUGAGGGUUUGAGAGAGGAGGUGAGGGUCUAAAGGAGGAGGUAAGGGUCUGAAGGUGGAGGUGAGGUUUGGAGGGAGGAGGUGAGGGUUUGAGAGAAUAGGUGAGGGUUUGAAGGAGGAGGUAAGGGUCUGAGGGAGGAGGAGAGAGUUGGAGGGGAAAGAAGGGUCUGAGGAAAGAAGAUUUGGAGAGAGUCUGAGGGUAGAGGCCAGAUCUGAGGGAGAAGAAAGAGGCUCAGGGGAAAAGAUCUGAGGGUCCGAGGGUGGAAGGCAUGGACUAGGGGAGGAGGAGCUGGUGGGGUGGAGGGGUGGAGAGGCGUGCCUCCGGAGCCAGCAGGGACCAAGGGGAGGGAAGGGAAGGGAGGCUGGGAGGCAGCCCCGCCCUGCAGCUGUCUCUAAUUUCCCAGAAUCUUCUGCUCUCAGGAAAGUCCCAGCUCCCACAGCAGCCUCCCUCCAAUGUCGGGAACGGAGGAUGCGGAACCAGGAUGGCCACCCCCACCCUCCCCCGGCUCCUUGCACCCCAGGCGGAAAGGACUAGGGUCUCCUUUCUCUGGGCCUUGGCCUCUGGAGGGCCCCCACCCGCAGGGGCAGCCCCUGGAUGAGUCUUAGAAACUUCCCAGAGGAGGCCAGGAAGUUCUGCUUGGUGUCUAACCACUUUCCCCUCAUGCAGGCCGCCCUUUGUACCUGUUCAGAUCUCCUCCCCAGCUGCUGUUUCUUUUUCCCCAACCCAUCCUGGGGGAGGAAAGGCCAGGAAUUUACCUGCUCAAAGUCCUGAGAGGGAAACGAAAUUCCAUCUGGAAGUCUGUAGGCUUGAGGCAGCUUUCUUGCUCUCAGGGGCCUCAAUUUCCCUUUCUAAGAGGAGAGAGUAGGGCUGGUCAGGGCCUAAGUUCCCAUCUGGCUCAAUUACUGGGUCUUGUCCUGCUUUUUUUUUGAGACAAGAUCUGGCUCUGUCUCCCAGGCUGAAGUGCAGUGGUGAGAUCAUAGCUCACUGUAGCCUUGAACUCCUGGACUCAAAUGAUCCUCCUGCCUCAACCUCCCAAGUAGGUGGGACUACAGGCAUGUGCCGCAAUGACUGGCUAAUAAAAAAAACAAUUUGUAGACUCAGGGGGUCUCACUGUGUUGCCCAGGGUGUUCUCGAACUCCUGGGCUCAAGCGAACCUCCCUCCUCGGUCUCCCAAAGUGCUGGGAUUACAGGCGUGAGCCACCGCAUCUGGCUU
rnacentral:lncRNA from 1 species